ACAUGAACAUUAAUGUUACAACAGAAUUGCCUUUACUCAGUUUCUUGUAAGCACAGCUACUCCAGAUUACAAACAAGGUACAAUGAAUUUUCUCAUCAAAUAUGUGAAGAAUGAAAGAAGAAUCUUGGUUAACAUAUUCAUGUCCAACUCAGGAUAGACACCUGGAGAAAGCUUGCGGUAAACUGUAUCUUGCAGCGCCCCAAUUCAGAAUGGUUCAGAACAAGCUCGUCCUAGCAGCUGAACAGGAAACCAUUUCACAAAUUAGCAACUACCUAUUGUGAAUGUACUGCUAUCUUUUUAUCACAAUGGCUGUGUAGAUAUUGGAAUAUCAUAAGAUGUACGGUAUCGAAGGCCAUUUCCUACAGUAUUCGAUACAGGGCAAAGCCAGCAGAAUAUGUUAGACCCCAGAACCUGCAUGCAACCAGGAAACAAUGAACAUUAAUAGCAAGUGAUGUCACCCAUGGUUAAGAAAGCAACUACACAAAUACUCCCCAUUCUUUUUUAUUUGAUGUUUUGAGCACUGAAAAGUGAUCAUUAAUGUUUGGUGUUAUAGAAUUUUGAGAAGAGGCAUGCAUAUGCUUUCCUAAAGUGUCAUUAUUCUCUUCUAAAUGAAAUAACACGCAGACUGGCGGUUUAGGAAAAAUUGUCAUAUUCAAUUCAACAUUUACUAAAUUGUAAGUCUCCAAACCUCUUUGUUCAUUGGGCACAUUUGGUGGUUGAGGAAACAAAACAAAUUUAAUGAGGUUGUACCAUGAUCCUUAGAUUAUUAGAUACGAGAUUAAAUCAUUCUUGCUUGCUUAAAUCUGAAUGGGUAGUGCUACACUCUAUAUAGAGAGGUUAGGUCCUGACAAGAGUUUCCAACACUAACAAAAAGAAAAAUGCAACCAACUAUAUCUUAUCUAAACUAACGAUAACAUGAAAACUAACUUACCCAAACCCAUGCACUGCAGCAUGCUACCAUGGUUAAUGGUCAUAAUAUGCAGCACAUAACAGGUUGCAUGAUUUUGAGACAUAUAAUUGUAUUAGGCAUAUGGCCACCAUUUACUUUCACCAUUUAAUACGAGUGCACAAGUCUUAAGUAUCAAAUGAAAAGGAAAGGAUGGAAUAUUUGAUUAUUAUAAUAAAUCCUGCCGGCAUAAUAUGUCUAACAUUGAUAAACAUCAGUAUUCAUGUUAUGUCUCCAGCUUGUUUCUCCUGAACAGAUGGGUGGAAUAUCAAGGUUAUGGCUAGCAAAAGGUGUCUCCCAAUUUGUAGAUAUCUUCAGAUGGAAGACAGAUUGUCGUUAACCUUAUUUCUUAGUCUUCACCAUUCUCAUUUUGCAUAUAUAAUUGGAUAUGCUGAACAUUUAUGCUCUCUAAGAAACACAGACAAGUAGUGUGGAUAGUUCUUACUGAAAUAAGAUUCUCAUAGACACCAAGGUCAUAUGGAUGAUGAUAGAGAUCUCCACCCUUUUCUGCCAACCACAUCGCUCUAACCCCUUCAUGGUACUGCACACAUUAGUAACAAUCUAGUCAAAACUUCUACAAACAGGGGUGUGGUCCAAUAUCAAGAGAAAUUUUGGAUCACGAACCUCAAUUGUAGUUUUAUUCUGUAAUAUGAGGUAAAUAUGCCAACCCAAGAGCACUGCCAACGCCAAUGCUAAUGGAGAAAGAAUGACCCCACAAAUAAUCUGCCAAUUUGAUAAGUUCUUCAAAAUUCUUACUCAAAUGAAAUUCCUGUCAAUGGCUCAGAUUAACAUGCAACAAGCUAGUAACUUCUGUAGACAUUCCCAGGGUACUCACAAUGGAUGAUCGAGAAGAAUCACUGCCUGACUGUUCAUCUUUAGGAACACUGUGCAGAACGCUCCCUAUAAUCAGAAUCUGAGAUCAAAAUGAAACUUUUUAAUGCGCUAAACCUCAGGAAAAAUGGAUGCUAGAGGAAAUCAAAGAAACUAUACUACCAAUGCAUAAAAACUUGCAACUACAGCAUACAGUACAAAGACCAAGAAGAUCUUGUAGUUCUCGUGCCCAACACAGUUAUUAAUCCAAAUGCAAUGAUGGUCCUGCACAUGUGAAUUAGGUGAAAACGUGAAGAGAGCAGAUUGAAAAUAGACAUCACAGAAUAAAUACUAGCAGCACCAUUUUUAGAACACAUCUCUUGCAAACACGGCAAUGGUGUGCCCGUGGAGGUUUAUAGUGGCAGCAUUUCUGGCAAUAUCUCAAGUCACCACCCUGCAGAAGAAGUAGAGUUGUUGUGAAACAUACUACUGAGAAGCUACUUUUGUCAGAUAUCAGCAAGAAAGCAUAUUACAAAGAUGAAGUGACGGGCAGAUCCAUGAUUUUUCCCACUCAAAGGAAAGUGCCCCCUUCCCCAUCUUUCUUUUAUGACAAACUAGUAUGAGUGUAUGGCACUGUGGUGAGCAUUCUCUUUGAAAUUACUGAAGCUAGAAACGAGCAAUCACUGACCAAUGAUCUCAAACCCGUUGAAGAUUCCAAAUCAACCUAUUAAAACCUUAAAAUCAGACUAGAUCCACUCACCUCAGUGGAAUAUACUGGAUCAACUUUAGAAUCUAAAUUAUCAACUUGUAAGACGGUCCCCCUCCCAAGGUCCCAACUCUAAGCUAGAAAUUACUAGAGUAGAGCGAUUUGUACCGAGAAUUAUCUGAAAUUACUAACCAAGCUGCUGCC
rnacentral:lncRNA from 1 species